rnacentral:tRNA from 1 species
GCUCCCUUGAUUCCGAGUGGUCUCGGAUGCGGGCUUCAAACCCGUAGCGGCCUAGCGGCCGAGCUGUUCGAUUCAGCCUAGGGAGC